UGAAACAGAAGGCUUGAUUGUGGUUAAACAAAUAUUAAAAUGCCAUUCUUUUCUAAAUGAAUAAAUGUGAUAGGAACAGAAUAGCAAAGUCUCUCCUGAUGAGCAACCAUAAAAUACAAAAUCCUCAAAUAACCCCCACGCUCGGCCGAAUGAGCAAACAGCAACACAGAAUGCCUUCCCUUUGCCUCCUUGCUUAAGGCAUCGUAUGGCUGACCGAACGGAUAAUGUGACGGGUGCAUCCAUUCCUCAUUCCCAGCCUGAACUCCGGUGGCUAAUUGUCAUCAACAUCAUCACUGCCACGACUACAACAGCAGCGACCUGCCCAACCUUGGGCAUCGUGGGUGGCGUCAUGUCAUUCACGGCCCCACUGGUUCGGUGUAAAAAUCAGAACGUACAACAGCCUUCUGCUGAGCCACGUGGGUGCUGCUUUAUGGAAGAUCCUCCUGCCUAGGUGCAUGAAUGCUCUCAAUCACACAGCAAAAUACUCAACUGUUGGCC